rnacentral:lncRNA from 10 species
GGUUCUAGGUGGCGGUGGGUCUGUGGCUAAGUUUGAAUCCCAGCCCUGGGCCUCACCUGGGGAUGGGGAUGGAUAAUGGGAAGAUGGAAGGCUUGAGACCUCUUUCCUGGCUAUCUCCUUUACUCACUCCUUUCAUGGAUUGAAUUAUUCAUUUUAAAGCUAAAAAAUCUUCAACAAAUUAUCUAGUCUAGACUUUCACCUUCAAAGGGUUCGAUAUUACUUCCCCAUUUCACAGAUGAGGCUACACAAGUUAACCAACUUGAUCGAGAUCUCCCAGGCAGAACAGGUUGAAAAGGGCAUGAGGAAGAAGGUCUUUCGCCCUGGGUAGGGGAGAUGGGGGUUAAUCUCUCUCUAUGCAAUCAGGCUCUAAAAUUGGCUGCUUCCCGGAACAGAAACGGCAGGAGUUGGCAUCAGAAUGCAGCAACUUGAUUCCUGGCUACUUACCAGUUCCGUGACCUGAGGGUCCAGCACAUGGUAUGUGCACAGACAUGUUGUUUGAAUGAAUGAAGAUUUUCCCACCUGGGUCUGCUGCCUCCUUCAUGUUUUACCACCUGGUGUCACUUCAGAUUCUGAAACUAUCUGUGGCUCAUCUACUUAGGGAGGACACUGAUGUGGACAUUGCAGAAUAUCAGCUCCAGUUUGAUAAGGUGGUGCACAAUGAUGAGAGAGAGGACUUUGAGGGUUUUCUUCCUAGGUGCUCAAGUAGCUAAAAAAUAAAUAAAUAAAAAAAUAGAAUACAAUAAAAAACAAGCAGUGGUGGGAAUUACAGAUUAGCUAUAGAAGGAAAGAUUACCAAAUUCCGUUGGGGUGUGGCUGCUAGUGGUCUUUAAAACACUGAAGGCAGGCUUGUCUCAGGUCCCAAGUAUAUUGCAAAUGAGCCAGCACUAAAUAAACCUUGAAACCUGAUGGCUCCAUUCUCUCUCUUGGAAUCUAUCAAUUUUAUAUACAUGAUAAGCAUAUUUAUUGAUUGAUAAAGGCUUAGCAGAGAAGCCUGAAAUAGGACUGGCUUCCUUGGCCUCCAAGAGGCAGUUUCCUUCUAUCACAAAACAUGUUUAAAGCUCUUUAAUUUUGAAGGUCCUUGGAGUCUUAAAUUGUUCCCCACCUCCCACACACAUACACUUUCGGCAAUACCCCCAAUACCAGAAACCCAGACAAUACCUAUCCAUGUAUGACACCUGAGUUAUUGACUAUAUGUGGCAAUUGUUUAAUUCUAGGUUCACUUUCUCUUGCCGUCCAGUGCUCUUGGAAAACAUCUCUAUUAUCAGUUAACAUGUGAGUCUCCAGAAGGCAGACUCAUUUCAAUCUUAGUUUAAGCAAAAUCAUGUGGAAAAUCCAAUUUCCUUUAAAAAGUAUAUUCCAAG